rnacentral:rRNA from 1 species
GACGAACGCUGGCGGCGUGCUUAACACAUGCAAGUCGAACGGAAAGGCCCUGCUUUUGUGGGGUGCUCGAGUGGCGAACGGGUGAGUAACACGUGAGUAACCUGCCCUUGACUUUGGGAUAACUUCAGGAAACUGGGGCUAAUACCGGAUAGGAGCUCCUGCUGCAUGGUGGGGGUUGGAAAGUUUCGGCGGUUGGGGAUGGACUCGCGGCUUAUCAGCUUGUUGGUGGGGUAGUGGCUUACCAAGGCUUUGACGGGUAGCCGGCCUGAGAGGGUGACCGGCCACAUUGGGACUGAGAUACGGCCCAGACUCCUACGGGAGGCAGCAGUGGGGAAUAUUGCACAAUGGGCGGAAGCCUGAUGCAGCAACGCCGCGUGCGGGAUGACGGCCUUCGGGUUGUAAACCGCUUUCGCCUGUGACGAAGCGUGAGUGACGGUAAUGGGUAAAGAAGCACCGGCUAACUACGUGCCAGCAGCCGCGGUGAUACGUAGGGUGCGAGCGUUGUCCGGAUUUAUUGGGCGUAAAGGGCUCGUAGGUGGUUGAUCGCGUCGGAAGUGUAAUCUUGGGGCUUAACCCUGAGCGUGCUUUCGAUACGGGUUGACUUGAGGAAGGUAGGGGAGAAUGGAAUUCCUGGUGGAGCGGUGGAAUGCGCAGAUAUCAGGAGGAACACCAGUGGCGAAGGCGGUUCUCUGGGCCUUUCCUGACGCUGAGGAGCGAAAGCGUGGGGAGCGAACAGGCUUAGAUACCCUGGUAGUCCACGCUGUAAACGGUGGGUACUAGGUGUGGGGUCCAUUCCACGGGUUCCGUGCCGUAGCUAACGCUUUAAGUACCCCGCCUGGGGAGUACGGCCGCAAGGCUAAAACUCAAAGGAAUUGACGGGGCCCCGCACAAGCGGCGGAGCAUGCGGAUUAAUUCGAUGCAACGCGUAGAACCUUACCUGGGUUUGACAUGGAUCGGGAGUGCUCAGAGAUGGGUGUGCCUCUUUUGGGGUCGGUUCACAGGUGGUGCAUGGCUGUCGUCAGCUCGUGUCGUGAGAUGUUGGGUUAAGUCCCGCAACGGGCGCAACCCUUGUUCACUGUUGCCAGCACGUUAUGGUGGGGACUCAGUGGAGACCGCCGGGGUCAACUCGGAGGAAGGUGGGGAUGACGUCAAGUCAUCAUGCCCCUUAUGUCCAGGGCUUCACGCAUGCUACAAUGGCUGGUACAGAGAGUGGCGAGCCUGUGAGGGUGAGCGAAUCUCGGAAAGCCGGUCUCAGUUCGGAUUGGGGUCUGCAACUCGACCUCAUGAAGUCGGAGUCGCUAGUAAUCGCAGAUCAGCAACGCUGCGGUGAAUACGUUCCCGGGGCUUGUACACACCGCCCGUCAAGUCAUGAAAGUUGGUAACACCCGAAGCCGGUGGCCUAACCGUUGUGGGGGAGCCGUCGAAGGUGGGACUGGUGAUUAGGACUAAGUCGUAACAAGGUAGCCGUAUCGGAAGG